rnacentral:rRNA from 1 species
AUGAGAAUUAAAUGGCCGCAGUACCCUGACUGUGCUAAGGUAGCAUAAUAAUUUGCCUUUUAAUUAAAGGCUAGAAUGAAGGAUUUGACGAAAGAUUAACUGUCUUAGCUUAUUAUUAAAAAAUUAACUUAGAAGUUAAAAGGCUUCUAUUUACUAAAGGGACGAUAAGACCCUAUAAAGCUUUAUUUAAAAAUUUCUAUUUUUGUUAAGAAAAAAAAUACAAAUCAUAAAUUUUAUUGGGGAGAUAGAUAAACAAACAUUAUCAAUUACAACGUUCUUAACGAAACUUAUAAAACGUUUUUAAAAACCUUAUAACAAGUUACUUUAGGGAUAACAGCAUAAUUUCUUUUUAGAGUUCCUAUCGACAAAGAAGAUUAUGACCUCGAUGUUGAAUUGAGUUGCUCCUUUUAAGCAGAUUUAAAAGGCAGGAGUCUGUUCGA